UACGUAGGCAGCGAGCGUUGUUCGGAGUUACUGGGCGUAAAGGGUGUGUAGGCGGUUCUCUAAGUCUGGUGUGAAAUCUCCCGGCUCAACUGGGAGGGUGCGCCGGAAACUGGAGAGCUAGAGUGCGGGAUGGGAGAGUGGAAUUCCUGGUGUAGCGGUGAAAUGCGUAGAUAUCAGGAGGAACACCUGUGGUGUAGACGGCUCUCUGGACCGUAACUGACGCUGAGACACGAAAGCGUGGGUAGCAAACAGG
rnacentral:rRNA from 2 species